UACGUAGGGUGCAAGCGUUAAUCGGAAUUACUGGGCGUAAAGCGUGCGCAGGCGGCUAUGCAAGACAGAUGUGAAAUCCCCGGGCUCAACCUGGGAACUGCAUUUGUGACUGCAUGGCUAGAGUACGGUAGAGGGGGAUGGAAUUCCGCGUGUAGCAGUGAAAUGCGUAGAUAUGCGGAGGAACACCGAUGGCGAAGGCAAUCCCCUGGACCUGUAC
rnacentral:rRNA from 1 species